UUUUCCCUUCUGUUUGGGAGUGUAAUAUAUCUGUUUAUGUUCAUGUAUAAGCUCUGCAAAAUCGCAAAAUUCAUAUUUCCCCCAAAGGGAUUUAUUCUGUCUAACAGAGGACACUGCUCCAGACUUGCCCGAAACUCAUCGUUCAAAGUCCAGAUUUACUUACGUAAUUUCUCUACGUCACAGCAUGCACUAUCAGCAUAAUCCCACCCAAAGGCAGCCAUGAAGAAAGAUGGCAAGGCUUCAUGUCACACCAUGUCACCUAGACACUGUGUGUUUCGAGCAUUUUACAGAGGACAGCUUCCAGAAACUGGCAUCCAUUUACAAGCACAGAAACCAAGUGGACCCAAACAAAGUUACUGCUACCAGCUGUGGCUACAGAUUCCAAGCUGCAAAGCUCUGCCCCAUUUCUCUGCUGCCACAGGAACAGGUGGAGGGCCUGGCACUGCAUUUUACCAAGCAUUAGACUCCACUCGGAUCAACUGCAAAGUCACAGACAGCAAAUGUUCUCACAGGCUGUGUGUGAGAUGGACAGAGACAGGAUGCAACCCUUCUGUUUACUUCCCCAAAG
ensembl:lncRNA